rnacentral:rRNA from 5 species
ACGGGUGAGUAAUGCCUAGGAAUCUGCCUGGUAGUGGGGGAUAACGUUCGGAAACGAACGCUAAUACCGCAUACGUCCUACGGGAGAAAGCAGGGGACCUUCGGGCCUUGCGCUAUCAGAUGAGCCUAGGUCGGAUUAGCUAGUUGGUGAGGUAAUGGCUCACCAAGGCGACGAUCCGUAACUGGUCUGAGAGGAUGAUCAGUCACACUGGAACUGAGACACGGUCCAGACUCCUACGGGAGGCAGCAGUGGGGAAUAUUGGACAAUGGGCGAAAGCCUGAUCCAGCCAUGCCGCGUGUGUGAAGAAGGUCUUCGGAUUGUAAAGCACUUUAAGUUGGGAGGAAGGGUUGUAAAUUAAUACUCUGCUGUUUUGACGUUACCGACAGAAUAAGCACCGGCUAACUCUGUGCCAGCAGCCGCGGUAAUACAGAGGGUGCAAGCGUUAAUCGGAAUUACUGGGCGUAAAGCGCGCGUAGGUGGUUUGUUAAGUUGGAUGUGAAAUCCCCGGGCUCAACCUGGGAACUGCAUUCAAAACUGACUGACUAGAGUAUGGUAGAGGGUGGUGGAAUUUCCUGUGUAGCGGUG